AAUAAAGAAACAGUGGUUAAAUGCUGCAUGGCUAAUAACCCCUGUUAUCUCUAAUUAGGUUCUAAGAGUUCGCAAGGAUUUCUGACACGAUAAUGGUAUACUACAUGAGAGGAAUGCAUCAAUAACAGCUUCAGAAAUAACUUCUCUUCCGUGAUUCCCUAUUUGUUUUUCAAAAUGGCUUACAAAAUUCAGCUUUCCCUUGGCACAAAUUGAUUCACAACAUCUGGAGCAUCCCAGACCACGACUGAAUGCGGCAGACCCAAUGCCAGGUAUAGUUUAAAUAUCCACUGGUAACAUUUAUAAGAAGCUUGACAAUGUAAAUUAUAAAUAUUGCCAUUUAUUUGAAAAUGAAUUAACUUGUUCAGGAUAUUCUGACAGCAGCACAAAGCCUCCCUGAUACUUUUUUUUCCCAUGCUAUUUUUUUUCCUCUC
rnacentral:lncRNA from 1 species